rnacentral:rRNA from 1 species
AACGUAGGUGGCAAGCGUUAUCCGGAAUUACUGGGCGUAAAGGGUGUGCAGGCGGGGUUGCAAGUGGUGUAUGAAAUAUCCCAGCUUAACUGGGAGGGGUUAUGCCAGACUGCAACUCUAGAGGACGAGAGAGGGGGGUGGAAUUCCGGGUGUAGUGGUGGAAUGCGUAGAUAUCGGGAGGAACACCAGUGGCGAAGGCGACUUCCUGGACCUGUUCUGACGCUGAGGAGCGAAAGCGUGGGGGAGCGAUCCGG